UGAUAUUUGAUUUUUAAUUAUAAAGCUUUUCUUGUUGUCACAACGAGAUGCAUUAAAACGUAGUAGAAAAGUCAUCACUUUAAUAGGCAAUCGAACUGAGAUCGCAAUUUAAAAAAUUGAAAUCGCAACUCUUAAUGCAAAACCACAGAUCAUCCAUAAUUACAGGUACAGGAACUCAUCUUUAACUCCUUGACGGUGGAAGUUUGGAAAUGCCUCAGAGAUGUCGCCAUACCUCUGAUGCUGUGACGAACUCAGUCCGAUUGAGCGCCGUCGCUACUGCCUCCCAGUCGCCCGCCAAUACAACGGCGAAUCCAUGACAAAACUCACGGUCCUGAACGGCAAAUCAGCGAGGGACUUCAAGGUAACCAGCUCCAGGACGUCACAAUACGGAACACAUAAUCACGGAACACAAACCACUCUUGGUCAUAAAUAUUUCUGGACAUCACGUUUUCACCAUAGAUCGAAUCAAACAAUUACAUUGAAGGAGUCAGCCAUAAGGAAAGGAAGGAAGACAGGAAUCAACCAAUUACGUUUUUAAUUUUAAGGGAAAGUUACUAGCUCGAUAUUUUCUUUCUGUAAAUCAU